rnacentral:rRNA from 1 species
UACGUAGGCAGCAAGCGUUGUUCGGAGUUACUGGGCGUAAAGGGUGUGUAGGCGGUUCUUUAAGUUUGGUGUGAAAUCUCCCGGCUCAACUGGGAGGGUGCGCCGAAUACUGAGGGACUAGAGUACGGGAGAGGAAAGUGGAAUUCCUGGUGUAGCGGUGAAAUGCGUAGAUAUCAGGAAGAACAUCGGUGGCGAAGGCGCUCUGCUGGACCAUAACUGACACUCAGGGACGAAAGCUAGGGGAGCGAAUGGG